GACAUGGGGAGCUAAGUUGGCCAUUGCUU
rnacentral:piRNA from 1 species